UGGGGAAUAUUGCGCAAUGGGCGAAAGCCUGACGCAGCGACGCCGCGUGUGGGAUGAAGGUCUUCGGAUUGUAAACCACUGUCGGGAGGGACGAAUGCGCCGCAAGGCGAGUGACGGUACCUCCAAAGGAAGCACCGGCUAACUCUGUGCCAGCAGCCGCGGUAAUACAGAGGGUGCGAGCGUUGUCCGGAAUCACUGGGCGUAAAGGGCGCGUAGGCGGCUUGAUAAGUAGGGGGUGAAAUCUUGCGGCUCAACUGCAAGGCUGCCUCCUAAACUGUCAGGCUUGAGCACAGUAGAGGCAGGUGGAAUUCCCGGUGUAGCGGUGGAAUGCGUAGAGAUCGGGAAGAACAUCGGUGGCGAAGGCGGCCUGCUGGGCUGUUGCUGACGCUGAGGCGCGACAGCGUGGGGAGCAAACAGG
rnacentral:rRNA from 1 species